UGUGGAGCUCGAACUCACGAGCUCUGAGAUGGUGACCUGAUCUGAAGUCGGACACUCAACCUACUAAACCACCCAGGUGCCCUUAUAAAUGGAUUUUUUGAGCAGCAUUCCAAGGGUAAAUGAUAGCCAGGGUUGUUCUAAGCUGAUGCACCCCCUCCCCCCAUCCAAAAAAAAUUUUUCCCUCCUUUUGAAAGCAGCUGGUUCCAUGUUUUUAAAAUCCUGUGAUUCACAAGAGAAGACAUCUUCCACGUCCAUUCCCCUCUGCCACUCUUAAAUGCAUCCUUGUGUGAGUAAAUGCUUAGUCCAUAAUCAGUCUACUGAAAGUAUUGAGCCAUAUACCAUGUGCAAAGCAUUGUGCUUGACCUGUGGGGGAAGACGUGGCUCAUUAAGGCACUAGAAAUUUUGCUGGAUAAAUUUAAUCUACAACAUUGAAAGAAUCCAAAGAAUUCCAGAAAAGACUGUAAAGUUAUAGUGGAGUUUAGGGAUGGGGGGAGAUCCUUGUGAACUGUAGAAGUCUGGAAAACCUUUAGAUACGAUCAAAUAUGAAGACUUGAAUUGACCUAUAAAGGAGAGGAACAUUUGACUAGACAGAGGGAAGUAUGUUUGCAGGGUUAAGGGGCAAAGCAAGGUACAGUGGGGAAAGAGGGAGUAGAGGCAUUGGGGGAGAAAGAAGUGUGGUUUUUGCGACCAAGUACAGUGAACCCUUAAGACCAGUGCAGAGGAUUUACAUGCUUCACAUACUUUAGCUGGUCAUUUCUAGCCCUUGGCCAUUCCACUGUAAGUCAGGCAUAGCUUUGAGACGAAGAGUAGAGUUUCUGGUACCACAUUGCUUCAGAGAUGGAUGCUGGCUCUACCACUUAACACCUGUGCAACCUUGGACAAAUCACUUAAUCUCACUAAACCUCUGUUUCCUCAUCUAUAAAAUGGGAGUAAUCACCGCACCUACCCCAAAAGGUUUCUGUGAGGAUUAAAUGGUAGGACUGAGUAUCCCAGACAUCCAGACCUUCUGAAAUGUCAGCUGCUGUCAUCACUGUUGGUCAAGUAGAUGAGUGCUAUGGAGGCGAUCCUUCUUUUUCUUAAUACAUGUCUUAGCUCAGAAGUGUGGCAGAACUUUUCCUGAGUUCCAGCUAGUAUCAUCAGCUUACGCUCUAUCUCUGGAAAUGCCAGGGAGAGGUGGCUCCUGCCUGAACCUUGCUUCUGGCCUUCAGUACUUCUCCCACUUGCUUUACAGCCAGAACCAGAAUUGUUUGCUCAGUUAUUAGUGUUUUUUCAGCUUUUAUAAAGUCUUCAUGGCUCCAGGUAUCUCUUCUUAACUUGCUUAUGGCCUUAACGUUCUGCUUCCACUUCUCAAGAUGUAUUCAGCCUGUCCUUUCAUGUACUGCUUCUGUGUUUGUGCUUUCCACGCCUCCGAAAUGUUGGGGCAGUCACUGGCUCUGGGAAUGCUGCUCACGCUGUUUUGCUACAGAUCAUUGAGAGAGUGAAUCAUGAGCAUAAAGUAUAAUAAAUAAUCACUGGUUGAUGGAGCCUGUCCCAGGCUAGCCCUGGCCCCCAGCAUGGGCAGGAUGAAGGCUUGUGACAUUGUCCAGGUCUAGUCUGUCCCCAUUAGAAACCUUCCUCUCCCCUGGAAAGAUGGUCCAGAGAAUGGUUUGGCUGUGUCAGAACCACACAGAGGACAGUGGCCCAGGAGACUGAAAAGCAGCCUUUCUCAACUUGUCUUCCUGGUGCUAUAAUGAUUUGGCCUUCCCAGUGCAGUUAAAAAAUAAUUAGGAAACAGUGCCCUUUGAUGAGACUCCCUUCAUCUUGUCUAAAUUAUAUGAUUCUUUGUCCCUACUUGCUCCCAAAACAUGGGGUUUUUUUCCUUCUUUAAAUGGCGUAGAGUGGUCUCAAAGGUUUCAAGUCAACGAACCCGGCCUCUCGUAGUCCCCCAUUCUUCCUUCUCACUUAAAACUCCACUUACCUUCUUCUGGACAGUAGUGUUUAUCUCAUGGCCUUGCAGACUUCAUGUGGCUCUGGUUCCUGGCCCCUCCUUGCCCACUUGUAAGAGACACAGAGAAGAGAAGUAGCACCUUCUAGAGACAAAUUCCAAGGAGAACUGUGGGAACCCCUGAGGUGUCCCCCACAUCACCCACCACCCCCCACACAGAGAGCUGUGGAGGACUGCCCUCUACAGGUUACCUGAUAGGCUGGCCACUGAUUCCCAGGGCCGGAGAGAGGGCCGAGCUCACCUCAAUUCUGGCCUGCAGCUACCCCUCCCCACUGCCUUUCAUUCUUCCUGUCCUCUCCCUUACUCCUCAUUUAAGCUUCCCUGAGACAAGCUAUAAAAUACAUGUCACAAACUAAGGGGGUGGAAGGAAAGCUGUGAGCCUCAACAUUUUAAAAACUAAGGACACAGCUUUGAAGAUGAGAAGCAUUAUUAGGGUAUUCUAAAUCGGGGCUUCCCAAGUUUGCAUCACAGCAUGCGUGUGCGCCACAAGUCACCUGCAGUCAGAGAAGGGGCUUGCUGGGCAUGCCUAUAUGGGAACCCCCUCUCUAGUAAGUCUGGGCGAGGGCUGAGGGGCUGCAGUGUUAACAGGCUUCUGGAAUGAUUCUGAUGCAGGCGAUCUGGAGACCCUGCUCUGAACGAUGCUGCUGUAGGAGGGAAAAGAGCAGGGAAAGGUACAUCCUAAACAGAAAUCCCUUUUUGUUCUAAAAUGUCUGGCUGAGAGACCCCAAAAUGUAACAUCUUACCUUACCGGUAGAUAGGCCAAGUUUGGUUCAUGUUAGGGAAUAUAGCCUAGUCUGGCUCAGAAGUAGGGAUGCAGGCAUCUCAGUGUGCCUGAGCCCCGACACACUGUGGAGCCAUGAAGGCGACCACACAGAGAGAUCAAUGACAGUGUGUCUGCCUUUGCCCUGUUGUGUGGUUGAAGCUUCCUUCACCGUGGAACCCUGUGUGCCACAGAAUUUAACUGGACUAAGCAAAUUUGAGAGAAAAACCCUGGAAUGAGGUGGUCAAAUAGCUCCGAGAAGCUUGGGGGCUCUCAGAGACUUUACAGCAGUGUAUCUCAAAGGGUGGCUCAAAUAAUAACCUGCAGCAUAAUCUCUUGGGUUCCUCCCCAGACCUACUGAGACAGAAGCUUUGGUGGGAUGGUCAGGAAUCUACAAUGAAGCAAGCUCCAAAGGUGGCAGUGCUGCACCCUUCUGUGCAAUGUUGUGGAGACACUCAGUCUUUGCCGUCAAGAAACGGUUACUGCUCAGGAUAUGACAGCUCUCUGUGCUCCUCAGAGGAGAGCUGGGCUGUCCACUCAUCAGACAUUUCCACAUGGAAACCCAGGGCCUGCUGUUAGCAGGGGGGAGUUUGGCUUGCGAGAGUACUCGGAGGUGAAGACGGUGACAGUAAAGAUCCCUCAGAAGAACUCCUAAGAAGGCCAAGGGGGAAGGUGGAGGCCAUCCCGCAGGACUCUCCCUCUCUGCUCUCCCUGGGGGGCCCGGCUCUCAGGAAUCCAAAGUCCGUACUUGGUCCUUAUUUAAAGUGAAAUAAUGACACGUAGGCCAGGCCAGUCAGUGGGUAAUGAAAGCAGACCAUGUGGGCACCAUUUCCUGGCACUCUGUAAGGGUUCACCUGAAUAAUACCAAAUACUGGGGAAAGGGGAUGGAGAGCAGAGGAGUAGCUGUCAGGGACUUCGAUCUCUCCAGAGGGAUGGGCUGGCGCCUUUUGUCACAAAGAACUUUCCUCCUGAGGGAAGCUUGUCCUUCCAUUGUCUUCAUUUUCCCCUUUCCAGCCUCUCUCUGCUUACCCAUCCCUCCCACCCCUCCAAGGAGAUCUCAGCUGAGCUCAUUUGGGGCAGAUGUUUGGGCCGGGAACAAUUUUCCAAGGUUUUGCAGCCAAAUUACCAUUUCAUGUUAUCCACUUCUUCAAAGCAAAACAUGAAAUGGUUUUAGUUAGAGCCAGACCAGACUGAAAAUGCCAGGAGCUGGUACACUGCAGAUGUACCAAGAAGCAAGAACUGGGGACGUUCCUGACCCAGUCUGGCUUUCUUACAUCCAUAAAUAACACGAGCAAAAGAGCAGGAAGAUGGAGAUCUGGAGAUCAUCCUAUAUAGUUCACAACUUCUGAUCUGGCUGCUUGGCUUUGGGGCGUGUGGGUGCACGUGUGUUUACUUCCUUCUGGGUGAUUCUGGGAUAAGGUGGGGGCAGGGGGGGGUUGUUUUUCAUAGAUUGAUAAGAUCUUUUUCCAAAGCUUAUCUUAACAACCCAGAAAUAAAUGGCUGGGCUCAAGAAUUUGGUAAAAGGUAAUGCUGGGGGCCUUGCGGAAAUAAUUUCAUUUUCAGUACUGGCUGACAAUUCUUACUAAGUGAAUUAUCUCUUCAGUUGGACUCUUCAGCCUCUGUCCCCCGCCCCCCAUUGCCCCAGCACUGCUACUCCCAGUGCUCUGGCUGUCACUUUGGCCUAUCGUGCCCUAAAUCCACUGGCAGUAACCCUGGAGAACCUGAGCAAGCCUGCAGAUUCCGUGUCACUCGCAGACUUGCAGCGUGCCACGAUUGCCACGUUCCACCAGACCUCCGCCGACUCGUCCAGCGGCUCGUCCACGUCCACGCGGCCUUUUCCCUCCCAGCCUCCCCAGGAGCCUCCCGAGGGGGAGGCACCAAGCGGUGCCCCUCCCUCCCCUCCAGUCACACCCUCCUCUCCUGCUUUCCAAUGCAUCCACCGCAUCCACCGGUUGAUGGACAGCAUCACCUUCCUUUCCUCCUUCCACUCUCCUGGCUGCCGAAGUCAGUCCGGUCUGUAACGUAGAUGGAGAUCAUUUAUUUAAAAGUACCAAACAUAGCCUAGAGUACAUGGAAUAUGGCCAACACAUAUAUAGUCUUCUGUAUUUAAUGGGUUUCUGCUUUCUAACCAUCCCGGGUUUCUAUUUAUAAGUCUUGUCUAUUCAUGAUGUUUAAAGAAAUCCCUCCUCGCUGUUAUUUACGAACGGCAGUGCAUUCAGUGGCCCGAUGCCUUGAGAGACGCCACAUCUCUGAGCCCUUCCGUGUGACUGUCAUGCUCUCCUUAUAGCUUGUGUCCAAGUGAACAUAUCCAUUAACCAGCUAGUUACCUUUCAACUGCAGUAUAGAAUGUGAAAAUGAAGAUUUAUUUCUUUUAAUUUACUUAAAAAGAAACCUCUGUGCUAGCAAUAAAGCAUUUAUAUUGUGUA